rnacentral:misc_RNA from 1 species
AUAAAAAAAAUAAAUAAAUAUAUAUCUCUCUCUCUCUCCCCAACUUUCUUUCUCUCCCUUCCAUCACUCUCUUUUCUCUCCCUUCCUUUUGCAGCUACCGGAGACCAUCACCUACCACCAUCGCCGGCGAGGAUUCCCCCACCACCCCACGACAUUAGUGCACCACCAUCUAAUCGAAGAAGCACCAGAAGCAGCGCCAAGUGAUGGAGGAGAGAGAAAAACGCGGGCACAGGGCAGCCAACUUCCAGGCGCCAUUUCAACUUUAUCCGACGUCCGAUCAAGGUGAUUCAGGUGGCGUUGGAGAGCUUGUUUUGAGAGCUUUCUUUUGAUACCCAUUUUGCAACAUUUGGUGGUCGGAUGAGCGAGAUAUGGAGGAGAGAAAUUUCAGAUUUUUCAAGCUUUUAGGUCAGAUCUAGGACAAUCCGGCCGUUUGAUUGACGAUCCCAUACCACCUAUGGACUGAGGGAGAGGAGAGGAACAUGAUGGUAUGAUCAGAUCCGGCAAAUAUCGCCGGCGGCCGGCAGCCGACCACAGUGCGCUGUGGUUCCGGCGGUGACUCCGGUGGGCUUUGGAGAUGAUUCAACUUCCAGAGACUUUCUCAUAAAUUUUUGAAAUUUUUGA